AUGCUGCAGGGCCUGGUCCGUUCCCAUGUCUCUGGGAAAGGAGAGGAAGGUGGAGGAGGAGCAACGCUCUGGGGCGAGGGCUCUGAGACGUUCGCCGCCGCGUGCUCCCGCCGCGGCGAGAAGGGCACCAACCAGGACACCUCCAUCGUCUGGGAGGGAUACGGGUGCCAGGACGACACCAUCUUCAGCGGCGUCUUCAACGGGCACGGCCAGUGGGGCCACUACGUCGCCAAGGCCGUCCGGGAGUCGCUGCCGCAGUCGCUUCUGUGCCACUGGCAAGAGGCUGUCGCGCUGGCGUCGCUCAUCGACGGCGAGAAGAGGCUCAGCGACUGCCAGUUCGACCUCCUCAGGCAGUCCUACCUGGCCGCCGCCGCCGCCAUGGACGAGGAGCUCCGCCGGAGCCGGCGCCUCGACGCCGUCAACAGCGGCUGCACGGCUCUGUCCAUCGUGAAGCAGGGCGACCUGAUGGUGGUCGCGAACGUCGGCAACUCGCGGGCCGUCCUUGCGACCACGUUGGACGGGGACAUCACGGCCGUCCAACUCACCGUCGACUUCAAGCCCGACUUACCCUAG
rnacentral:rRNA from 1 species